rnacentral:lncRNA from 1 species
AGUGACCACUCCCUGAUAUGCUGCAGAUGCAAUUGAGUAGCAGCUUCAUUCCACAUUUCUCCAACAUCUUUCAUGGUGAGGUCAAGAGCAUAUUCAAAACCAUGUGUGGCUCAGUCCAACUGGAGAGACCAAGUCAAAGAGCCUCAUUUCCAUAAGUUAUUUUGCAGGCACAGAGUUAAGAAGUGGCAAGUUAACACAGCCAGAGCAUGCACAGAAGAAAACUUCGACCUCAAAUAACACCUAGAACCAAAGUCCCUACCGCAGAACUAAAAGAUUG